rnacentral:rRNA from 1 species
GAUGAACGCUGGCGGCGUGCUUAACACAUGCAAGUCGAACGGAAAGGCCCAAGCUUGCUUGGGUACUCGAGUGGCGAACGGGUGAGUAACACGUGGGUGAUCUGCCCUGCACUUCGGGAUAAGCCUGGGAAACUGGGUCUAAUACCGGAUAGGACCACUUCUUGGAUGUUGUGGUGGAAAGUUUUUUCGGUGUGGGAUGAGCUCGCGGCCUAUCAGCUUGUUGGUGGGGUAAUGGCCUACCAAGGCGUCGACGGGUAGCCGGCCUGAGAGGGUGUACGGCCACAUUGGGACUGAGAUACGGCCCAGACUCCUACGGGAGGCAGCAGUGGGGAAUAUUGCACAAUGGGCGCAAGCCUGAUGCAGCGGCGCCGCGUGGGGGAUGACGGCCUUCGGGUUGUAAACUCCUUUCGCUAGGGACGUAGCGUUUUGUGACGGUACCUGGAGAAGAAGCACCGGCUAACUACGUG